rnacentral:lncRNA from 1 species
GUGCCUCGCGCGACUCUGCCUUCUGCUGCUGCUCCGUCUUCUCCUUUACCUGCUGCUGCUCUGCUUCCACGCCUUGCUGCUGCUCCCUCCUACUGCUCCCUAAACUUGUUUGCUGCUGCUUCCCCUCUCCUAGCGCCUCAACCUGCUGCUUCUUCUUCCCCAAACUCUGCUACUACUCUCCCUUUUCCUCUCCCUUCACCUGCUGCGAUCUCUCUCUCUCCCACAUCUUUGCUGCUACCCCUGCUGAACCCUCUUCUCUCCUUGCUGCUCUUUCUCUUCUCCCUCAAUGCCUGCUGCUGCUUCCUCUCAACGCCCCUGCUACUUCCUUCUUCUCCCACGGCGUACUCUGAACCCCAUACUGCUGCUACUACGUUCCACCUGCUGCUGUUCUCUCUCUCUCUCGCUUUCUCUGAAAAUUUCUGUGAAGUUAGGCAGUGUAUGACAUUUAAUAUUCAGAUUUGAUGCGUGCUUGCAAUCUGUAAUUGGUUCAGUUGUACUUGUAAUAUAACGUCAAUCUUAUGUGUACUGACUGGUCGAUGCACCUAUAUAAAUUCGGUUUACCUAUGCUAUAUUCUUCACUUGUAUGGUUCAUGUGUGUGUGUGUGUGUAAUUUUGUGAACCAUUAGUGUUGAGACUUAUUCAAUUGUAGACUGCUUUGCGCUAUUUCAAUAUAUGUGAUUCAUCUGUCAAGUAGCCGUCUGUUACAUUCAGUUUACUUGUUCUGAAUCUUAUUCUAAAAUUGCUCUCUAUUGUAGUCAGGGAGUAAUUUUCAGUAUCUGUGUAGCUAUGUACCUGUGAUAUAAGUGUUUGUAAUGUGACCCAUAUACAUUCUGCUAUAUGUGUUCAUGUCCUGUUAUUCCCUUUGUGUUACUGUUUUAAUUUCUCAUGCAAAUAAAAAUAAUACCAAAAAGACAGAGAGUAUAAUCUGAACCUCCCUUUGCUUCUUUUCAUUUACUUUGUCUGUUGAUUUUCUGGAACUGUCUUAGAUAGCUUAGGUUUAUUUUCCCUGUAAUCGUCACUUAAAUUGUCUAGCCUAGCUUUAGCCAAGCAUCAUCGCUGAUCAUUUAGUCCCGUGGAGAACACGACAUCCGUAGUUUGGGCAAAUAUUCCACUACAUUUACAAUCGAUCAUUUUGGCGCCGUUGCCGGGGACUAGCAUCGAGCGAUUGUGUGAAGCUAUAGACUAGGCUUAGUAUAGUUCUUGUUUAAAUUUCCAGUCAAAUUUAUUUCUGUGUUUCUUUUACCUUUUUACUUUUUGUUGCUUCGGCUUAUUAAGAUACUAACCCUCUCACCAGAGCUUGAUGUCUGUGAGCGUGUGUAGGAUAUCUUACUAUUUGUAGGCUGAUUGACAGUUGCGCUUGAACAUAUGGCUUUAGUAUGUGAUCUUUGGUUGCCAAGUAGUUUGGGCACGAUGACAGGGCCAAUUUGGCCAUCUAUUGAGGCCGAAAAUUUUGAGUUGAGGCCUGGACUUAUUGCUCUCGUCUUGCAGAAUCAGUUUAGAGGAUUACCCAAUGAAGACCCUCAUGAGCACAUUUGUAAUGUCCUGGAGUAUGCCAAUACUGUCCAGUACCAUGGCGUUUCCCAAGAUGCUAUCAAGUGUAUGCUGUUCACAUUCUCUCUCAGAGAUGCUGCUAAGGACUGGUACUAUUCUUUGCCAUCAAGAUCAUACACUUGGGGUGAUAUUUCGCAAGCUUUCCUGCACAGAUAUUUUCCACUUUACAAGCAAGCUGCAAUUCGUGACCAGAUCCUCAGUUUUGUGCAAGAUGGAAGUGAGAGCUUGUAUGCAGCUUGGGAGAGAUAUAAGUAUUUGCUUAGAAAAUGUCCUAAUCAUGGGCAAAAGGAUUGGUUAGUGCUCCAGAUAUUCUAUAGAGGGCUGACACAUGCUUCGAGAGAUCUUGUUGAUAUGUCCGCUGGUGGAACAAUCAUGAACAAGACCGUUGAGGGUGCAAUUAUUCUCAUUGAGAGCAUUGCCUUCCACCAAAUGCAAUGGGGUUAUGAAAGGCCUAGUUCAAAUCCGAAGGUUGCAAGCCAUCUGCAAUCCGAAGCUGUGUGUUCCAUAAGUGAACAGAAAUCAUCCAUGGUGCCUAAUAUUCAAAACCAGCAUGUUCCAUUCCGGGGACAACAACAUUUCAGAGCUGAAUUAGAUCCUCCAUGUAGAAAGAUUGAUCUUACUUCAAGUAUCCUUGAUGAUGAUUAUGAUAUUUUUCAAGAUGAUGCAACCAUUGUAGAUCAGAUGGAAACCAAAGUAGCAGAUCCAAUACCUCAUGGCAAUGAAACUGUCCAGACUGAGUCAAAGUGGCAAGAAGAUGUUUAUGAGGAACCUACUCUGAUUGAUGCUAAGUUGAGACAACAAGAUAUGGAGAAAUUCACUUGUGUUAGUCAACUAUGUGACUGGUGGAAUUUAGUCGUGGCACCAAUUGCCCACACUUGUGUUACAACUGUAUUUGGGAUAUUUGUCAAGAAGAAAUCAUUAGCUCCACCGGUGGUUGCCUCUAUCUCAGUUAAAGAGAGUAUCUCAGAGAAGAAUAGUGAAGAUGAGAUUCCAACACCUUCACAUUCAGCUGAGCAAGAUAGCGAGAGUCCAGAGGAAGAGAUACUUCAGAUCCAAGAAGAAAUUCUCGAAGCCAAGGCACAAGAUGAUCCAGAGCUCGAACAACAAAGUGAUCAAGUUGAAGAUUCAUCAUCUAUUACUCUUGAAGAAGCAAAAGAAGUUGAUGUGAUUGAAGAUUAAGAACCAGAAACGCAUUUGCCCAUCGUCAUACAGGAGCGUGAUUUAGCAGGUUUAUCCAAUCCUCUUGAUGACAUGAUGCCUUGUGAUUUCUUUGCUACUACCUUGCAUUACAUGAUACCAUCAAUUAAGCUAGACUUGAAAAAUUAUUUGCUUGGACAUGAUCAUACAUACAUUGUUGGUGGCAUUUCUCUCAUUCCUGAUGAUGACACUUAUUUUCCUUAUGCUAGUCCUAUGCUUAAUGAAACAUAUUAUUCCCAUGCUAGUCUUGAGCUUAAUGAUAAAUUUCAUCCUCAUGUUAGUGUCGACCUUGCUGAUUUCUACCAUCCUAAACACGUGCUUUAUAGCUAUGCUUAUGUAAUUGGAUAUUCGAUUGAUGACUUGGAGGGUAUUAUCCCUACCACUUGCAUUGUCUCUUUUGUUGAGAGUGCUUUCAGGUUUUUGCUUGUGCACGAUCCAUUACAUGCUGACCAGGUUCGAGGUGACAUUCCUUGGGACCCUGGUGGACUCAGAGCAUGGGGAUGAGGAGAAGCAAGGGGGCACACACGAGGAAGGGAGAAGCUGGAGCAGGCAUGAGGAUAGAGAAGCAAAAGGAGAGGAGCUGUAGUUGGUGAGGUGAUCGAGCGAGUGCUACAUCAUCAAAGCCCGGUGAGCUGUUUCAUGACCCAUUCCGAAUAUAUCAUCCAUUGAUACAUGCUGAAAUCAAAUGUUAUUUGGGUUGCUUAAGCCAUGUCUUAAAUGUUGCCCCACUGAAAUUCACCUUUGGCAUUGUGCUUGAUGUGAAUUUGUGAACUUGAUUUCUGAAUGCCUUGUAAACUAGUGAUCUACACCAUGCAUGCUUUGCUGAAAUUUGUGGAAGUUAUUAGUUUUGAGUGCUCAAAUCCCUAGUACACUAGAAAACUGAAUCAUUUUCUGCUUUUACCUCGAUACACCUAGAUCACCACGUUUAGAUGCUGAAUUUGUGCCAAGUGUCUUCCCAUUGAGAGCAAUCACCUAACCACUAUGGAUUAGCAUGCUAUGUUCCCUGGAUCGGUAGCAUGUGAACCAGACAUGGAGAAGUGAUGAUUCCUAUUUUUGUGCUUAUGAGUUGUUCAUUUAAGAUAAAUAAUAAUGAAUAAAUAAGUCUGGCUACCUACAGUAGCAUGUCAUGUUCCCGGGAUCGGUGGCAUGUGAAAUCUGGUAGCUUGGACAGUAAUAAAUAAAUAAAAAUGUAAUUGUCGAACCAGGUGUAUACCAUGUUCUCGGGAUCGGUGGUAUGUUCCUUUGGGGAGACAAACAAACUAAAAAAAACUAAUAAUUGGUCGAGCCAGGUGUAUACCAUGUUCUCGGGAUCGGUGGUAUGUUCAUAUGGUGAGACUAAUAAUAAUAUAAUCAUUGCUUUAUCUCUGUAAAAAAAGUGAUUUGAUCACAAAAUUUAAUUCCAGUUCAUUUUGUUCUUGGGAUCAUGCUCUCUUUAGGAACCAUUUGGCACAGUCAUCAUUUAAACUUGUUGAUCCUCUUUUAUCAUUGUAAAAGUUUAAAAUGGUCAUGCUUACUAGUAUUCUAUUGCUCUGUAGCACUCUUAACCAUUGAUUUUCACUAGUUAAGUCCAAAGCAUGCUUUGUUUGGAGAUCUACUUCACUGGGACAUUCUCCAGUCAGCUCACUGUUCAUUAUCUAGCUCUUGUCAUAUUCCUUUGCUUGAGGACAAGCAAAAGUUUAAGUGUGGGGGAACUUGAUAAGCACAUUUCAUACACAUCUUUUGGCACUCAAAUAUGCGGUUUAUUGAGAUAUGACCAUCAAUUCUUGCUGUAAAAUAUUGAAUAUUUGCAUGAAAAUCAUAUGAAGAGUCAUUUACUAGUCAUUUGUUUCUUUUGCAGAUAAGUGCGAGAAGGCACUAUAAACUUCAAGAUCCAGACUAAGUGGCUAAGAGAACGAAGAAGAGGAGGAAGAAUUGACUUGUGCGAGAAGAAACGAAGUAACCAGGGGGCCAACUAUUGAAGAGAGGAUCAUCUUGUGCUAAAAGUAAAGAAGGAGGGGGGCCAAAUUAAAAAAAUGACAGAUCAGAGGAGGGGAUCAAAUCCCUAGACGCCUCCUUCGUUCCCCUUGGNNNNNNNNNNNNNNNNNNNNNNNNNNNNNNNNNNNNNNNNNNNNNNNNNNNNNNNNNNNNNNNNNNNNNNNNNNNNNNNNNNNNNNNNNNNNNNNNNNNNNNNNNNNNNNNNNNNNNNNNNNNNNNNNNNNNNNNNNNNNNNNNNNNNNNNNNNNNNNNNNNNNNNNNNNNNNNNNNNNNNNNNNNNNNNNNNNNNNNNNNNNNNNNNNNNNNNNNCCCUCUCCCCUUCUUCUCCACCACCGGCCGCCGCCACGGCCAGGCCGGCGUGGUGGUGCGCCACCCAGCACCUCCACCCGCUCCACUUCACCACUGCUCCACCCAGCACAUCCAGCAGCACCGCACAUAUCCACCACCCGCCGCUGCACCAUCCAUCCACCAACACCACCAUCGCCAUCUCGCGCGCACUACCAGACCCUGGUCUGGUGCCUCGCGCGACUCUGCCUUCUGCUGCUGCUCCGUCUUCUCCUUUACCUGCUGCUGCUCUGCUUCCACGCCUUGCUGCUGCUCCCUCCUACUGCUCCCUAAACUUGUUUGCUGCUGCUUCCCCUCUCCUAGCGCCUCAACCUGCUGCUUCUUCUUCCCCAAACUCUGCUACUACUCCCCCUUUUCCUCUCCCUUCACCUGCUGCGAUCUCUCUCUCUCCCACAUCUUUGCUGCUGCCCCUGCUGAACCCUCUUCUCUCCUUGCUGCUCUUUCUCUUCUCCCUCAACGCCUGCUGCUGCUUCCUCUCAACGCCCCUGCUACUUCUUCUCCCACGGCGUACUCUGAACCCCAUACUGCUGCUACUACGUUCCACCUGCUGCUGUUCUCUCUCUCUCUCGCUUUCUCUGAAAAUUUCUGUGAAGUUAGGCAGUGUAUGACAUUUAAUAUUCAGAUUUGAUACGUGCUUGCAAUCUGUAAUUGGUUCAGUUGUACUUGUAAUAUAACGUCAAUCUUAUGUGUACUGACUGGUCGAUGCAC